rnacentral:rRNA from 1 species
GAUCCUGGCUCAGGAUGAACGCUAGCGGCAGGCUUAACACAUGCAAGUCGAGGGGCAGCGUGGAGUAGCAAUACUCUGACGGCGACCGGCGGAAGGGUGCGUAACACGUGAGCGACUUGCCCGAUACAGGGAGAUAACCGGUGGAAACGCCGACUAAUAUCCCAUACGACAUGAGGCUGCAUGGCCGUUUGGGUUAGUAAAGGUUCCGCCGGUAUCGGAUAGGCUCGGCGGGACUAUUAG